rnacentral:rRNA from 1 species
UACGGGGGGGGCAAGCGUUGUUCGGAAUUACUGGGCGUAAAGGGCCAGUAGGCGGCCAACUAAGUCGGAUGUGAAAUCCCCGGGCUUAACCUGGGAACUGCAUUUGUGACUGCAUCGCUGGAGUGCGGCAGAGGGGGAUGGAAUUCCGCGUGUAGCAGUGAAAUGCGUAGAUAUGCGGAGGAACACCGAUGGCGAAGGCAAUCCCCUGGGCCUGCACUGACGCUCAUGUACGAAAGCGUGGGGAGCAAACAGG